AGAGUUUGAUCCUGGCUCAGGAUGAACGCUGGCGGCGUGCCUAAUACAUGCAAGUCGAGCGGAAAGGCCUCUUCGGAGGUACUCGAGCGGCGGACGGCUGAGUAACGCGUAGGAACGUACCCCGAAGUGAGGAAUAACUGCCCGAAAGGGUGGCUAAUGCCGCAUGUGAUCUACGGAUUAAAGUCUUCGGACGCUUUGGG
rnacentral:rRNA from 1 species